rnacentral:rRNA from 1 species
UGAAUACGAAAUGCUACGGCAUUGAAGUGAUCUAUGCCAUGCUUCCAAGAAAAUCUCGUCAUAUCUUAAAUAAUAAAUGCCUGUACCUUAAACCGACACAGGUAGGUAGGUAGAGUAUACCAAGGGGCGCGAGAUAACUCUCUCUAAGGAACUCGGCAAAAUAACCUCGUAACUUCGGAAGAAGAGGUACCCUUGAAAAAGGGUUGCAAUAACCAGACCCUGGCGACUGUUUACCAAAAACACAGGUCUCCGCUAAUUCGCAAGAUCAAGUAUGGAGGCUGACGCCUGCCCAGUGCCGGAAGGUUAAAGAAGUUGGUCAAUCUUCGGAUGAAGCUGGCGACUGAAGCCCCGGUGAACGGCGGCCGUAACAAUAACGGUCCUAAGGUAGCGAAGUUCCUUGUCGGGUAAGUUCCGACCCGCACGAAAGGCGUAACGAUCAGGGUGCUGUCUCGGAGAGAGACUCGGCGAAAUAGACAUGUCUGUGAAGAUGCGGACUACCUGCACCUGGACAGAAAGACCCUAUGAAGCUUUACUGUAUCUUGGAAUUGGGUUUGGGCCUUGUUUGCGCAGGAUAGGUGUAGGCUGUGAAAAUAUUCUCGUGGGAAUAUUGGAGCCAACGGUGAGAUACCACUCUAGCAAGGCUAAAAUUCUAACUCUGAACCGUUAUCCGGUCAGAGAACAGUUUCAGGUGGGCAGUUUGACUGGGGCGGUCGCCUCCUAAAAGGUAACGGAGUCGCGCAAAGGUUCCCUCAGGCUGGUUGGACAUCAGUCGUAGAGUGUAAAGGCAUAAGGGAGCUUGACUGCGAGACCCACAAGUCGAGCAGAGACGAAAGUCGGCCUUAGUGAUCCGACGGUUCCACGUGGAAGGGCCGUCGCUCAACGGAUAAAAGUUACUCUAGGAUAACAGGCUGAUCUCCCCCAAGAGUUCACAUCGACGGGGAGGUUUGGCACCUCGAUGUCGGCUCAUCGCAUCCUGGGGCGGUAGUACGUCCCAAGGGUUGGGCUGUUCGCCCAUGAAAGCGGUACGCGAGCUGGGUUCAGAACGUCGUGAGACAGUUCGGUCCAUAUCCGGUGCAGGCGUUAGAGCAUUGAAAGGAGUCCCCCUUAGUACGAGAGGACCGGGGGGAAUACACCGCUGGUGUACCAGUUAUCGUGCCAACGGUAAACGCUGGGUAGCCAUGUGUAGCGUGGAUAACUGCUGAAAGCAUCUAAGUAGGAAGCCCACCUUAAGAUGAGUGCUCUCACCGCUAUAAGCGGGUAAGGUCACGGUAAGAACAACCGUUAUAUAGGCAUUAAGUAUACAUGCAGUAAUGCAUUUAGCUGAGAUGUACUAACAGACC